rnacentral:rRNA from 1 species
UACGGAGGGUGCAAGCGUUAUCCGGAUUUACUGGGUUUAAAGGGUGCGUAGGUGGGCAGGUAAGUCAGUGGUGAAAUCUCCGGGCUUAACCCGGAAACUGCCAUUGAUACUAUCUGUCUUGAAUUUCCUGGAGGUAAGCGGAAUAUGUCAUGUAGCGGUGAAAUGCUUAGAUAUGACAUAGAACACCAAUUGCGAAGGCAGCUUACUACGGGAAUAUUGACACUGAGGCACGAAAGCGUGGGGAUCAAACAGGA